UGUGUUUCCUCUCUGUAGAGUUUCCCGUCUCUCUGUGUUUCUCCUGGAUGUGACGACUCACUCAGCUUCACUGUCAAUCAACAUCUCUCAUUUGAUGGAGUGAGGAAAUCUCUCUCAGAUCUGAAAAAACGAGUCGAACAAAUCUGUGAAGAGGAAUUCAACAAAAUCAGACCACAUGCUGCAGCAGAACAGAAAAUUUUACCCUCAGGACCAAUGAUCGACGAACGCAAUCUGCAAUAUGUGAAAAAAAGAGUUGAGGAAGUCUUAUUGCCGAAAAUCCGUCCACAAGCUGCACUACUUUCAGAACCAGAGAGGAUUUUAGAUGUACAACGCACACACUUAUUAUAAAUCCUGUGAUUAACAUCUAACAUGUGGACAUUUUAUUACUGUAGAUUUCUGUUAUCUGACUCUGGAUCCAAACACAGUACAUCCUGAACUCAUUCUGUCUGAGAAGAACAGAGUGGUGACAUGCCGUGAGACGCAACAGCGAUAGGUGUUGUGUAAGGAGAGUGUGUGUGGACGCUGUUACUGGGAGGUGGAGUGGAGCGGUUAUACAGUAUUCUUAUAUCAGUCUCAUAUAAAGAGAUCAGCAGGAAAGUAUCUCAGUUUGGAUUCAGCAGUCAGUCCUGGAGUCUGCGGUGUUCUUCUUCCUCUGUUUUUUUCUGGCACAACAACAUUUCAGACUGAGCUCUGAGGUCCAUCUUCCUCCAGAAUAGGAGUGUAUGUGGAUCACAGUGCAGGAACUCUGUCCUUCUACAGCGUCUUGAUGAGACUCCUCCUCAGAGUCCACAUCACAUUCACUCAGCCUCUAUGUCUAUGAUUAUGUAUAUGGAGAUAUGAUUUACCCGUGUCUUUGUGUGAUCCAAAAUAAUAUGUAUCAGUGGCAUUGUUAUGUUCUGAAAGUGUAAAAUUUAUGUUAGAAUUAAGUAUAACUUAGGGUUUAUAAUUAGGGUUAGGGUAGAACAAAGAAAUGUUAUUAAACUGACUCCUUUUACAAGAUUUAUUACACUAAUAUGGAAAAUGUGAAAUGUUUACAAAAAAUGUUUGCUCUUUAUGCAUUACUUCAGAACUACAGUAAUAAAACUCUUAAACUGC